AUUUUUUUUGCCACAGGCAAGACGGAUACCCUCGAAAUCACCGUCCAAACACACACAGUUAACAACUCGGCAAGAGGAGAUAACAACAGAAUUGAGGCCCCAGGAACGAGCUAAUCGAAACUGCCAAGUAAUAAUUGCCCUACAUCAGAACGAUGGACAAGCAAGCGCACUUGAGCGUUUGAAUUUCGCCCUGUUGUGCAAGUCUAGGGCUUACUUGGAAUCAUUGAAAGAUUGCCCAUUAAUUUUCAUAUUCCUCCUUCCUCUUGUUUUCAUCACUAAGGCAGAGACUUGUUAGCAAAAAAAGUGCUUUGUGCGUACUUAGUGAUUAUUAUUAAAAAAAAGCUCAGAAAAGGAAUGCCUGAAAAAUAGCCUGACUAAGGUCUUGGAAUAUCUUUUGGAGCUAAAUUUUCCUGCGCAUAUCAGGAAAUCGUUGUAUCGGCUUUAUUUUUUGGGGAGACUGGUGACUAGUAAGAGAUUCUGGGUAGGGUUAACUUUUACUGAGAAAGAAAUUGAAAAAUAAUUAUAAACUGUUAAGCAAUAACUGCACAUAUUUUCUGAAAACGGUAUCAGUAAAUUAGCAGUUACUUGAUAUUUUGAUUCUCCCUAUAAACUUAUCUACCACAUUUGUUUAUGGUCCAGGAAGCUUAUGACAAUGUUUAAAAAAGUUUAGCACAGGAAGACCGGUACUGCAAUGUUGACACCGAUAUUUUAAUGUGGACAUCUUUUUCGAUCCGUAAUAAUCUUGUGUCAUGCAAAUCGUCCAUUUGCAGGUUAAUCUAGCGAGUUACCAAGAUAUUUUUAUUAUAUACCAGUAGAUAAUUCAACUUCAAAGUUCUCUUAGCGCAACACAUGCAACCACAGUCAUUAAGGUACUAUAUGGUUUAUAUGAAAUAACAGAUAAUAAUUCGUGUGUAUGUUUUUUUGCUGUUGGACUAUUUAUAUUGAGCUCAUAAAUAUACUACCGAUAAAAAGUUAUUUACUACACGCGGGAAAACGUAAUACUACUUUGAAUUAAAAACUAGAUGAAUAAUCACGAUCUAUUCAAAUAGUCAUAACAAACUUCAAAACGUAAUUAAUUUACUCAUUGAUUGGUCUUAUCGAAAGACAUUUUUAGUAUCAGACUCUAAUUCUUAAAACGACAAUAUAUAUGCUUGUACAUCACCUAACUGUCAAAUGCAACGUUAUUAUAGAAAGUUUAGUUGCCCCUUUAAGAUAACAAAAACUGUGAACGCUCAAAAAUUUUCAACUCUCGAAAGAAUAAAUAAAACAGAACAAUUUUAGGGAGUCAUAUAGCUCAUAAUUCACUGUUUUCAUACGCAAUCGUUCUAGAGCAGGCACAAAAAGAGCGUUCCCUUGUUCUAGGUUCAUUUACAGUAAAAACAAAAAAUCAAAGUUCGUAAACAUUGUUAGCAAUAUGAUGAUACGCAAAUACGCCGCUAUUAUGGUUCGAUUAUCUCAAGGACUUAAAUGAGAAGGUUUUCGUAAUUGACCUUGUUCCUUGUGAGUGCUUUUGACCCCCCGGCUCACAAUAAAUUUAACAUGUUUUCAAGUACCUCUGAAGCACCUGUUUGCUCCUAAUAGACCUCCAGGGGAGAGAAAAACAAACAUGUAUUCCGCUAAAACUCCGAAAGAAGCAAAGAAGACAGACGCAACCGGAAGUUUAAUGUGUUUUUGUUUUCUUUUUGAUAAUGUUUUGCCCUAACGAAAUUAUUAUAUAUCCGCUUAAUCACGCGAGCGCGAAGAAGAACCCUGCUGGUGUUAUGGAUUAAGACAAGAUUUCUCUACUUCCAGUAUUCGUACGUCGUGUUUACUAAAACUCUCUAAUGGCCUUCACUAAAGGGAGUUGAGUAGGUUUCAUUGCGUUAAAGACGAUAUGGAACCCUAGGGGCUCGCUGGGUAUUCAUUGUGUUUAUCUCAUGGUGUGUUUGUACACUAACCUUUUACCGGGGGAAUAGGGAAAGGUCUUCUGUUGGUAACAACGCGACUCGUGACUAGAAAUGCUGCGUGCCUAGAGAUGCUGCGUGACAAGAGAUGCUUGUGUGACAAGAGAUGCUGCGUGACUAAAGAUGCUGCGUUACGAGAGAUGUGCGUGACUAGAGAUGCUGCGUGACAAGAGAUGCUGCGUGACUAGAGAUGCUGCGUGACUAGAGAUGUUGCGUGACUAGAGAUGCGGCGUGACUAGAAAUGUCAUGACUAGAGAUGUUGCGUGACGAGAUAUACUGCGUGACUAGAUAUGUUGCGUGACUAGAGAUGCUGCGUGACAAGAGAUGCUGCGUGACUAUGAACCGCUCGGCUGCCUGUGGCUGAAGAAUAUUGCUAUGGGAUCGUAUUAUCAGUGACUCGUCAAUCAAUGUCAACAAUGCAAAAAAGUUUUCCAACCGUUCCCGGGAUAAUAAUUGAAACUUUACAUCAGCGCUUUCACGUGUGUAUUUACAUGCGUCGAAUCACCCUCUAAUGGAGAAACGCACAGACUAAACGAAAAUUACACGCGAAAACGUUGCAAACAUGUCGAUGUUGGUCAUGUUGGUUGAUGUUCUAACUCAUAGUAUCUAUACCAAAGUAGUACACCCCUAGUGAUGGGCUCACUACCUUAUUUAUCACGGUUGUUCUCUCCUAGUUUGGGCUUUUCCUUACGCAAUUUCCUGGUCGCAUUGAAUAUGUUGCUGUGUUCGAUGCUCGCCACCAAGAAAAGUCGAUUGCUUAUUUGAAAGUUUGAGUUUAGCUUUAGAAUACGUAAACGGUACCUACCUUAGCGUAUUGCCGCAGUGACGCAAUUCCAAACAAAUAAACAGGAGAUAAGACUCUUUUUUACCUGCGCCAGGCCCGUAGGGGAGGGCAUGUAGCCUGUUUUGCCAUUUAGAUGAAUAUUUAAAAAAAUGUUCUUGACUACCCAAGCCAAGGCAAGUGCAAUUUGACAAUAUCCCUCGCGGCUUUGAAAGGAAAUGCGGAUUCAAUAUAAGAAAAACACACAAUCAUGGUAUCCAAAAGCAAACGCUCCAUUUUUUAAUUAUUGCAUGAUCUGAUGCAUUCUCUCCCACGAAGAUUUUUCCACAAAUUGCUUCUCUUUUCGGAAAUGCUGUAUGCCCUCAAUUGCCCCCUGCUAUUUGAUAGCAAAUUUAGUUUAAGUCUGUUCAGUUAAAUGGUGCUCAUUAGUUAAAAUCCCAUCGAAAAUUCAACUGGCCCAGCAAGGCUCAUGCGUUAUCAUGCCCCGCAGAAUAAAAAAAAAAAUAACCGUAAUAAGAAAAAAAGAAUCCAGAAUGGUGCUAUUUCUCGAACAUAAACUAUGGGGGACUACCAUAUUCUUAGCAAAUUUAGAAUAUUCCAGAACAAGGUGCUUUUCAAGAAAUUUUGUAUUAAUGAGAAAGCAGGGGGAUGGCUGUUAUUGUUUUGGGAUAAUUUUUGAUAAUGGUAUGGACUCAAUUAAAAGUCGAAAUAAAAUAAAAAAUAUAGAAAAUAUCA